rnacentral:rRNA from 1 species
GAUGAACGCUGGCGGCGUGCCUAAUACAUGCAAGUCGAGCGAACAGAUGAGGAGCUUGCUCCUCUGACGUUAGCGGCGGACGGGUGAGUAACACGUGGAUAACCUACCUAUAAGACUGGGAUAACUUCGGGAAACCGGAGCUAAUACCGGAUAAUAUAUUGAACCGCAUGGUUCAAUAGUGAAAGACGGUUUUGCUGUCACUUAUAGAUGGAUCCGCGCCGCAUUAGCUAGUUGGUAAGGUAACGGCUUACCAAGGCAACGAUGCGUAGCCGACCUGAGAGGGUGAUCGGCCACACUGGACCUGAGACACGGUCCAGACACCUACGGGAGGCAGCAGUAGGGAAUCUUCCGCAAUGGGCGAAAGCCUGACGGAGCAACGCCGCGUGAGUGAUGAAGGUCUUCGGAUCGUAAAACGCUGUUAUUAGGGAAGAACAAAUGUGUAAGUAACUAUGCACGUCUUGACGGUACCUAAUCAGAAAGCCACGGCUAACUACGU